GAAACAUCUAAGUACCCCGAGGAAAAGAAAUCAACCGAGAUUCCCCCAGUAGCGGCGAGCGAACGGGGAGGAGCCCAGAGCCUGAAUCAGCAUGUGUGUUAGUGGAAGCGUCUGGAAAGGCGCGCGAUACAGGGUGACAGCCCCGUACACAAAAGCGCAUGUGCUGUGAGCUCGAUGAGUAGGGCGGGACACGUGGUAUCCUGUCUGAAUAUGGGGGGACCAUCCUCCAAGGCUAAAUACUCCUGACUGACCGAUAGUGAACCAGUACCGUGAGGGAAAGGCGAAAAGAACCCCGGCGAGGGGAGUGAAAAAGAACCUGAAACCGUGUACGUACAAGCAGUGGGAGCACCCUUCGGGGUGUGACUGCGUACCUUUUGUAUAAUGGGUCAGCGACUUAUAUUCUGUAGCAAGGUUAACCGUAUAGGGGAGCCGGAGGGAAACCGAGUCUUAAU
rnacentral:rRNA from 1 species